AGUGAACGCUGGCGGUAGGCCUAACACAUGCAAGUCGAACGGCAGCACAGUAAGAGCUUGCUCUUACGGGUGGCGAGUGGCGGACGGGUGAGGAAUACAUCGGAAUCUACUUUUUCGUGGGGGAUAACGUAGGGAAACUUACGCUAAUACCGCAUACGACCUACGGGUGAAAGCAGGGGAUCUUCGGACCUUGCGCGAUUGAAUGAGCCGAUGUCGGAUUAGCUAGUUGGCGGGGUAAAGGCCCACCAAGGCGACGAUCCGUAGCUGGUCUGAGAGGGUGAUCAGCCACACUGGAACUGAGACACGGUCCAGACUCCUACGGGAGGCAGCAGUGGGGAAUAUUGGACAAUGGGCGCAAGCCUGAUCCAGCCAUACUGCGUGGGUGAAGAAGGCCUUCGGGUUGUAAAGCCCUUUUGUUGGGAAAGAAAAGCAGCAGGUUAAUACCCCGCUGUUCUGACGGUACCCAAAGAAUAAGCACCGGCUAACUUCGUG
rnacentral:rRNA from 1 species